GGAUCACUGAACUAAGCAUUAUAGCUAUGCUUCUUUAAAACUAACUCAUCCAGCUUAUUCCACGCUAUCAACGAAGAGUGCUUGGAGCUAAUUUUUUAUGGUUGUUCACUGAAUAAUUUCUAAUGGGUGCAGGCCAUCAACUUGUCACCAUCUAGGAUCUAGAAAUAAUGGGGUAAAAGAAGAAAAGUUUUCUAAGCUU
rnacentral:lncRNA from 1 species